ensembl:lncRNA
AGAGGGGGGAAGAGAAAAGAACUUUGUGAUAAGGCAGCCAGAGCAGGGACCUUUGGCCCAUGGGACUGGAGGGGAAAGGGGAAUUUCCAUAAGAGGCCUGAUUGGAUGGGGUGGCACCCACAGGUGCCACACCCACCCCAACGGGUGAAUCAGCCAGAGCAAAAAAGGGAAGCUAGAACCACUUGCCUUUGGGGAUCUGGCCAGGACAGGAGCAUUUGGCCUCUGCGGGUCAGCAGGGACAGGAUCAGACUCUGUCAGCUCCAGAUCAGGCCACCCCCACUCCAGAGAUGGCCCAUGGCAGGAGCUUCCGGAGAGCAUACUCCCUCCGCACCCCCAAAUCCCCCAGCCUCCUGGAUUCUACCUACGGCCGACUGGAGGAUAAAACAGAGAGCUCGGACAAGGCUAAGCAGAGGGCAAAGAGGAGAGCUGUGAGCCUGAGGGGGUGGAAGAGUGGGGUGGAAGAGUCCCCAGCUGAGAGGACCCCCACCCCAGGGGAGAUGCCCCACUCACUAAGCCCCGAUGAUGGGGAGCUGCUGAUCGGAGAGGCUCAGAGCAAGGGCUCUCACAGGAUGAAGCAGUGCAAGAAGCAGGUGGACCGAGCCCUCCGCAGAGGCUGGGAGACCUUUGUGGCUAACCUAUACAGCGUGACACUGAGCCGCCCAGCUCCCCCCUCCGAGGCUGCCCCCUUGCGGUGAGAACACGUUGAGGAACCAGAAGAAGAAACAAUGACUCUGGGUGGCUGGGCCACCCCCAGAGACAUGAACUUCCUAGAGCAGCAUCAGCCACUGAUCUGGCUGCAUUGGGGACAGGGUGCUUUUUUAUAACGACUGGAGAUGGGCCUGGGCCACCCAUCCGGAUCUGUCCCCCAAUCGAUCUGUCCCCCAACACUGAUCCAUCAUCCGUCCAUCCCCAUAUACACCUCUCUGUCUGCCCUCAUAUACACUUAGCUAUCCAUCCAUCCAUCCCCACAGACACCCAUCUGUCUAUCCCCAUAUACACCUGUCUAGCCAUCCAUCCCCACAGGCCCCCAUCUGUCUAUCCCCAAAUAUACCUGUCUAGCUAUCCAUCCCCAUAGACACCCAUCUGUCUAUCCCCAUAUACAACCUAUUUAUCCCUACAUGCCCCUCUAUCUAUCCCCCUAUACAUCUAUCCAUCCCCAUAGACACCCGUUCCGUUUGCCUAUCCCCACAUAGGUCUAUCCAUCCAUCCCGAUACACCUCUCUCUCUCUAUCGAUACAUCUCUAUCUACCUGCACAUGCAUCCUCCUCCUUACCUUCAUACAUACCUGUCUCUCUAAGUUUCUCUCCUAUGGUCCAGGGUGGCUGGAGUACAAGUUCCCAGCCUGGCCCCCUCGCUGGUAACCUGGGAACAGAAAUCUCAGCUCCGACUACAUUUCUCCUGCUAGGCCUCCAUCCAAACCCGUAACCAUCGGUGCUACUCCCCAGCCCUUGCUGCUGCUCACCUAGCCGGAGCUGUAAUGCCCGGGCAGUAUUUCCCUGCAUGUCGGCAACCAUGGAGGCGGAGGGGACGGGGUGUGCUGGCUACACUGUAAAUAGUCUCCGAGUCACAGGGACUCCCAUUAUUAAUCCCACCCUCAUUAACCUGCCCUAACACAGCAAUCCAACCCAGGA